CGCGGGAUAGAACAUUAGGCAGCUCAUCGGGAUCAUAUCCGCCACAGCGGACACAGGUUCGAGUCCUGUUCCCGCUA
rnacentral:tRNA from 2 species